rnacentral:RNase_P_RNA from 1 species
AGAGCAGGAAAAGUGGUCGCUCCGUAAAGGCAACCGUCUUUUCGGAGAGGAAAGUCCGAGCUCAGCAGGGCAUGGUGGUCGUUAACAGCGACUGGGGGCGACCCCAAGGAAAGUGCCACAGAAAGGGAAACCGUCUACCCGCCUGUUGCGGAAGUUCAGAGUUUAACUCUGAACUUCGGGGCUUAGACCCCGGUGGAUAAGGGUGAAAAGGUGAGGUAAGAGCUCACCAGCCGGGAUGACGACAUUCCGGGCUUGGAAAACCCCACCAUGAGCAAGGUCGAAUAGGUUCCGCCUUGAGAGGGGCCCCUUCGAAUCUCCCGUCCUACAUGUGAGGGCUGGAGUGGCGGGACGGGUAAAGACCGCACGAGUCUGCUGGCAACAGCAGAUCUUAGAUGAAUGACCACAGAUACAGAACUCGGCUUAUACGCCUGCUCUGACU